UACGGAGGGGGGCAAGCGUUACUCGGAAUUAUUGGGCGUAAAGGGCGCGUAGGCGGUCGUGCGCGUCGGAGGUGAAAUCCCCCGGGCUUAACUUGGGAAUUGCGCUCGAAACUACGUGGCUGGAGUGUGGCAGAGGAAGGUGGAAUUCCACGUGUAGCGGUGAAAUGCGUAGAGAUGUGGAGGAACACCAAUGGCGAAGGCAGCCUUCUGGGCCAACACUGACGCUCAUGCACGAAGCGUGGGGAGCAAACAGG
rnacentral:rRNA from 1 species